CAUGUAUAUCAUACCAGAAGGAC
rnacentral:miRNA from 1 species